AACGAACGCUGGCGGCAGGCUUAACACAUGCAAGUCGAACGGGUGCAGCAAUGCAUCAGUGGCAGACGGGUGAGUAACACGUGGGAACCUUCCUAGGGGUACGGAACAACUCAGGGAAACUUGAGCUAAUACCGUAUACGUCCGUGAGGAGAAAGAUUUAUCGCCCUUAGACGGGCCCGCGUCGGAUUAGCUAGUUGGUGGGGUAAUGGCCUACAAAGGCGACGAUCCGUAGCUGAUCUUAGAGGAUGAUCAGCCACACUGGGACUGAGACACGGCCCAGACUCCUACGGGAGGCAGCAGUGGGGAAUCUUGGACAAUGGGCGCAAGCCUGAUCCAGCCAUGCCGCGUGAGUGAAGAAGGUCUUCGGAUUGUAAAGCUCUUUUGCCAGGGACGAUAAUGACGGUACCUGGAGAAUAAGCCCCGGCAAACUUCGUGCCAGCCGCCGCGGUAAGAC
rnacentral:rRNA from 1 species